GAUGAAGAACGUAGCGAAAUGCGAUAAGUAAUGCGAAUUGCAGAAUUUCCGUGAGUCAUCGAAUCUUUGAACGCACAUUGCGCCCACUGGUAUUCCGGUGGGCAUGCCUGUUCGAGCGUCAUUAUCCUCCCUCAAACCCCGGGUUUGGUGUUGGACCGAAGUUGUGUGAACAACUGGUCUAAAAAACAAUGACGGCGUCCGUGGGACCCUCGGUGCAACGAGCUUUUAGGAGCACGCGCCGAGCUGCAAGGACCUUCCGGGCCGGUCUCCUUUUACUAUUUUACAAGGUUGACCUCGGAUCAGGUAGGAAUACCCGCUGAACUUAAGCAUAUCAAUAAGCGGAGGA
rnacentral:misc_RNA from 1 species